CCAUAAUAAUAAAUUUUUUAGCUACCAUUACCUACACGCACAUGGCCUUGACAUCAUUUAUAAUUCAAAGACCUGGAAUGUGGUGUCUGAGUGAGACUUCGUUAGUCAGAAAAAUCCACCAGAUUUAUGUGAAAAUCCAGAAAGAAAAGGCAACACCAUGGCUCACUGCACCAUUUCCACUCACGUUCUUUCUUGUGAGACCAGCUUCCUCUAGUGACAGAUUUCAGGGCGUUUUCAAAGGAUCCCAAUGCCCCAAGGGAAAAGAAGAGGCAGUAUCCAUUCUGAAGAUGACAUAAACCAUUGCUAACUGUGUCUUCAUCAUGUAUUUCUUUAUUUCAAGCUCAUGACACUGUCUCACGCUUAAUACGGUGUUUAACACAAUGGUCCUCAAGUUUUCCUGCGUAUUAGAAUCACCUAGGGAGUUUUAAAGCCUUCUGAUGCCUGGGCUGCACCCCAGAGCAAUUAAAUUGGAAUAUCAGAGGAGCCAACAGGAAAAAAUGCACCAGGAGGGAAAGACAGGAAAGGAGGGACAAGAGAGGAAGGGGGGCUCCACACAUCUGCAGCAGGAAAGGCUCGGAUUGCACCACCCACCCCUGCCUGCUGCACACGAGGCUGGGAGCUACCUUGGACUUUGUGGUCGUGGUCAUCCUGCAGGAUUGUGAUGGCAACUGUGUGGUUAUUUUCCAUCUCUAGGAGAGCAGCAUCAUGGCUGGCGGUGAGAUCUUCCACCUGGAGGAGAGUCGCAGUUACUGGUUAGACAGAGAGCUGCUUGGAGAACAGAAGUGGAAUUCCGUGAGUGGAAAAGGUCCGUGACCCAAAACAUCAAUGACAAGUCACAGCCUUGUGCCGAAGCAGGAGAGCUGGACUUUGGUGGUGAUGUGGCAGCCCUCGGAAUCACGGGGAGGUCACUGCCACAACCUGGCUCUUUGUAGGGGGGUCCAACUCCAGGCAGGGGAUCACUGCCUGAGGUACCUCUUUAGAGUCCUGAGUGUGGCUCCUGGACCAUCCCCUUCCCACUGCUUGUCCACGCGCUUGCACCGCUAUGAGCGAUGACGGCAAAGGAAAAGAAAAGCGUCCUCCCUACGAGGUGGUCUGUUUCCCAGUGGCAGGGGGAGCUACGGUACACAAGCACAGGUUCACAUUUAUGAAGCAGCCAAUAAGAAUUCCCAGCCUGAGAGGACCUUGGAACCAGAAGGAAUUGGAGGAGAUUUAAACAAGCUGACCCAAGGAAAGCACAAGAUCUUUCUAUGCAUUGAAGAUCACCAAAUCAAAGAUAAAAGUGCUCGACCAUUAUGGCCUAUGGCAAACUCGGGCUGGCUGAAGCAUCCUUCUCUUCCAUUUAGAACCCUGGUGAGGCCCCUUAGACCACCACUGGGCUGUCCUCCUCCCUCCUCAGAGACAGAGUUCUGGGCUGGGCCAUGGAGGUGUCUGUCAACACGGCAGUAGUCCUCGUUCUAUGGAAAACCAGCUGUUCCCUGUGACACGACUCCAUUCCCGCAGCUGCCUGCUAUUCAGCUGGGCUGACGGACAGCAGAGCACAGGGUUGGAAGACCACCCUCUCAGACAGUCAUUUAGUCUAAAAUGAUUUCCUUACGAAAGCAUAGAAGGUGUAUCCUGGAUAUGAGACAAAGCAAAUUUAAACUCCAAAGGCUGAGCUCUGCUGCUCCCUAUGGAGGAGGAAUCUCUGCUGAGACUUGAUGGAGCAGAAUCAUCAUGCAUCCAGACUGGCAGUCCCUGAAGUGAGUGGCUCUGGAGCAAGUUGUGGAGUAAGACAAACUUAGGGUCUUGGAGGAAUGGGUCAAAGGUCACAAGCCUGAUCUUUGCAUGCCAGGCUCUGUGGCUGCCUAUGUGUGGGGACAGCCAAAGGCAGCCCAGAAA
rnacentral:lncRNA from 1 species